rnacentral:rRNA from 1 species
GACAGAGGUCCCGAGCGUUAGGCGGAAUCACUGGGCUUAAAGCGUGUGUAGGCGGAUGCCUAAGUACCUUGUGAAAUCCCACGGCUCACCCGUGGAACUGCUCGGUAUACUGGGUGUCUUGAGCCACUUAGGGGCUACCGGAACAAAUGGUGGAGCGGUGAAAUGCGUAGAUAUCGUUUGGAACGCCAACGGUGAAAACAGACAGCUGGGAGUGUGCUGACGCUGAGACACGAAAGCCAGGGGGAGCGAACGGGG